AUUGAACGCUGGCGGCAUGCCUUACACAUGCAAGUCGAACGGUAACGGGCCUUCGGGUGCCGACGAGUGGCGAACGGGUGAGUAAUACAUCGGAACGUGCCCGAUCGUGGGGGAUAACGAGGCGAAAGCUUUGCUAAUACCGCAUACGAUCUACGGAUGAAAGCAGGGGACCGCAAGGCCUUGCGCGGACGGAGCGGCCGAUGGCAGAUUAGGUAGUUGGUGGGAUAAAAGCUUACCAAGCCGACGAUCUGUAGCUGGUCUGAGAGGAUGAUCAGCCACACUGGGACUGAGACACGGCCCAGACUCCUACGGGAGGCAGCAGUGGGGAAUUUUGGACAAUGGGCGCAAGCCUGAUCCAGCCAUGCCGCGUGCAGGAUGAAGGCCUUCGGGUUGUAAACUGCGUUUGUACGGAACGAAAAGCCUUCUUUUAAUACAGGAGGGUCAUGACGGUACCGUAAGAAUAAGCACCGGCUAACUACGUGC
rnacentral:rRNA from 1 species